rnacentral:rRNA from 1 species
UACGUAGGUCCCGAGCGUUGUCCGGAAUUAUUGGGCGUAAAGCGCGCGUAGGCGGUUUCUUAAGUCUGAUGUGAAAGCCCACGGCUCAACCGUGGAGGGUCAUUGGAAACUGUUAAACUUGAGUGCAGGAGAGAAAAGUGGAAUUCCUAGUGUAGCGGUGAAAUGCGUAGAGAUUAAGAGGAACACCAGUGGCGAAGGCGGCUUUUUGGCCUGUAACUGACACUGAGGCGCGAAAGCGUGGGGAGCAAACAGG